rnacentral:tRNA from 1 species
GCGCCCGUAGCUCAGUGGAUAGAGCAACUGCCUUCUAAGCAGUAGGUCGCAGGUUCGAGUCCUGCCGGGCGCGCCA